rnacentral:rRNA from 1 species
CAGUCGCCGCGGGAAUACGAAGGGUGCAAGCGUUAAUCGGAAUUACUGGGCGUAAAGCGUGCGUAGGCGGUGAGUUAAGUCUGCUGUGAAAUCCCCGGGCUCAACCUGGGAACUGCAUCUGUGACUGUAUAGCUAGAGUACGGUAGAGGGGGAUGGAAUUCCGCGUGUAGCAGUGAAAUGCGUAGAUAUGCGGAGGAACACCGAUGGCGAAGGCAAUCCCCUGGACCUGUACUGACGCUCAUGCACGAAAGCGUGGGGAGCAAACAGGAUUAGAUACCCCGGUAGUCCCUGUCUCUUAUAC